rnacentral:lncRNA from 1 species
CCCCUGCCUCCUGCCAGCCUUCAGCCUGCACCUGCAUUCCCUUCGGUUUGGCAAUGUGAUGUGUCCCGUUUGCCCUAGGUAGCUACCAUAUUGCAAUACCGUACUUUAAUUAGAAGGAAAAUAAUGUGUUGCACGCUUAAAAUUAAAUUAAAUUGCAUAUUUAUAUUUAUAAGACACAGUAUUGGCAGGAUCUAAAUGCUGCAUGAAUUGAGGAACCAGAAUACAGGUGUAUUAUAGUGAUUUCUAGCUGAAACAGUUGCUACAAAAGCAUACAAAACAGAGCAGCACCAAAUGUUAAUUUAAUACCCUAAGACAAGGCUCCGUACUCGUACAAUCACAAUUUCACAUAUUCUGUGUGAGCAUUUAUCCCCUUUCAUUAUGAAAAGGUAUUAAGAACCUUUGUUACAAACAAGCAACAUACAAAAUGUCAUACCACUUCAUGACUACUAAUGAAUAAUAUAAUUUAAAACAGACUGGGAAAUAAACUAGUAUAACACAUUCAACUAAACUAGUACUAUAAAUAUGCACAAAGUUGUUAUUAAAGAUAAAUGCACACAGUAAUUUUCUACUUGUAGGUUUUACAGGUAUAAUUUUGAAUCACACGAUAUUUUUUAAAACACAUCACAGAGAUGGGAGCCAACAGAAAGCCUGACUGGCAGCGAUUCCCCGUGAUCAAUAAGUGAUGUCUCCAUCUAUCUUUGAGGGCCCACAUAAAUUACCCCGUGGCAGCGUGAACCUGCAAGAUGGGUGAUGCGAUUGAUGCGUUCAGGGUCACAGCGGGCAGUGCCCGAUCAGGCAAGGUUUCCCCCUGUGGCACUGCGGUAGAGCAGCCGCAUUCGCAGAGCUGGGCAGGGGCCAGCGGGCGCCCUGGGCAGUGUGGCCAGGAGCAUCAUGAACCAAGCUCCCCUCAAAUCCCCGCUCCUGCAGGGUGGCUCAUUUUCUCCCUGUUGUGUGAGCUUUUUAGUGCCUGGGAUCAGGUCAGCAGCACAUGGAGGCCAAGCACAGAUCGGCCUCGCCUGCAGGCCUCCCUGGGAAUCCACAGAGAGGGAAGCAGCAGUGCCUGCUCUUGCCUUCCCCACCAGCAGCAUCCUCCUCUCUGUGCCCAAGGCAGCAGCAAGCAAAAGAGCUCUCCUUUCCUCCCGUCAGCUGCAGAUAACAGAAAAACAGGAGACGGUGUUGCACCAGGGAAGGUAGAUGGACAAUAA